UUUCCUUCAGAAUUAAUAUGAUGAAUGAUAUCGCGGCUGCUGUUGGCAAUUAUCAUCUGUUUUCCUACAUUUAGAUGAAAUAUUAGUCAAGAACUUAAAUUUAUGCUUUGUAUGCUUUGUAUGGUAAAGUUCAUUGAUGAGGAUUAUGACCCAAAAGAAAAAGGAAAGCAAUUGCAGAAGUUGGGUGAUUCAGUAAACAAUUAGAAUUGGUGGCCUUAAAUUUCACUCCUUACUCCUUCUCUUAUUGGGCUGGACCUGGAGAUAUAAUUGGUGGCCAUGAAUUCAACUACUGGAUUUUAUAUCUUUUUUUGGUGAUUCUUUUUUUUUGAUUGGUUCUUGGUUGGAGAGAUUAUUUGGUUUAGCUGCCUUCUUUCUUUUUUAAGGGUGUUGAUCUUCCUUCAUGUACUUCUCUGUUUUGUGACAAUAAGCGCGUCAUCUAUAUGUGCAUAGUCGCACAUGGGACCAAAACAAGCCAAAUUAUUUUAAAGAUGUUUUUUUAAUGACAAAUUAUUAAAACUAAAUAAACAAUAAGAACAAGAAAAAAAGUUGUCAUUAAAUUAGAGAGUUUUGGUUGAACAUGAAGUGAUUAAUUUAUGGGAACGUUGAGCAGCCUCCCAUCCGAGUCUUUACCCCACCCACUAACUAAAGAAGUAGGCCAUCCCCCUCUCUGAUUGUCUUUGAGUGACUAAAAGCUGAUUCUUUUCUCUCUCUCCUACCCAAAUAAUUGAAGGUCCUUUACCUAAAGUUAGUGGUAAAUGUUAUGCAGCAUUUGAAGUUAGUGGUAGAGCUCUCUCCUCUGCUCCCUUCUCCAACGCACGUCCUCUUCCUCUCUUGGCUUCAUCUCUCUCUUCUCAGCACACUAGCUGAGUGAUGGCAGAGAUUGCAGUGAACAUUGUCAUUGACAAGUUGGUUCCACUGUUAAGGGAAGAAGGGAAUUUGUUGAGAGGCAUCCAUGACGACGUUACAAGUAUAAAAGAUCUCCUAGAGUGCAUGAAGUCUUUCCUAAAGGAUGCAGAUGCGAAAGCAGAAAGGGCAAACAGGAGCAGUGGUGUGAAAACUUGGGUGAAAAAAACAAGAGAGAUGACCGCUGACAUAGAA